GCACUGGAUAUCUAUACCCGUGUUUUUGACCCGGGCAUAUAAGCAACUAAAUAACCCUAAUUUUCAUAAUCCAAGUCUCUUGCCACCACCAUCUUCCAUCUCUAAUCGCCACCAUCGCGUUUUUUGUCUGUCACCGCCACGUUUUACAAACCCUAGAUAUCAACACAGGUUUGUUUAGGAUCAUUAAAAGCAAACUUUAAUCCAUCAAUUCUUCAUCAAUCUGAUGUGUAAGUCAAGCAAACUGUGAAAAGGGAAUGUGUAACGGCGACCCACCAGAUCCGGGGAUAGAGGGACGCUUAUAGGUAUCAGACGAGACGAGACGGUGAUGAUUCUUACCAAGAAUCAUAUGGUGGUACAAGGUGAUGAUGUUUUAGGUGAUGAAAGUUCAGAUGUCUUUGCAACAAACUCAAAUGGACAGGUUCUAUUUACUAAUUAGUUUACUGUGGAUGCGGUCAUCAAUUCGAAAUCUAGCCAGGAGGAUGUGUUUCAGUUGGUUGGUGUUUCCAUGGUUAAGUGUGCAAUGGUAGCUUACAACACUUCUAUGGUGGCUUAUGCACAGAUGGCUGACUCAAUGGAUAUGGGUGGACAUUUAUACACACCAACCCUCUGUCGUAUUAUAUCUUUCACCGGUCUGCACCUUUUGUCACUACACGGACAACCUUCCGAAUCUCCCCUCGAUAAUGGCUUCUUCUAUCACUUAUAUACACCUGAUCACACGCACUCAUUCCAAAGUUUCACUCACUGGUGUCCGUCAUGACUGUUUACGUUGCCGUCGCACUCACCGCCGUCAUCCUUCUCUUUUCGGCUACUCACUCCUCCAUCGUCGGAGUGGAGUAUGUUUCUCGUCUUCUUCAGGUUCAGGAUCGAGAGAGAGCUCCGUCAUCCGUACAACUUUCCGCUGCUAGAGCGGUGCUUGAUCGCUUCAUCCCUUCGCAUUCAUCCAGUUUCCAAUUUAACAUCAUCACUAAGGUAAAGGUUCCUGUUAUAGUGGCAGGCUGUAAGUUGGAUUUAAGGGAUGAACAACAAGCAGUUAGUUUGGAGUUGGUGAUGUCUCCUAUAAUGCAACAGUUUAGGGAAAUUGAAACCUGUAUUGAAUGUUCAGCAUACAAACAUAUUCAGCCUGGUAUGGUUGCUACUUUUGGAUCUUCUGGGUUGACCACUGAAGUCAAAGUCUGUUGAGAUGCACCAUGAAGCUCUACAAGAGGCUCUCUCCGGUGACAACACUAGGUUCAUUGGGAUUUGAAACGUGGUUAUGCUGAAUCCAACUCGAAGGAUGACCCCAUUAAGGGUGCAGCCAGCUUCACCUCAUAUGUCAUCAUCAUGAACCGCCCUGACCAGAUUGGAAAUGGUUAUGAUCUGGUUUUGAAUGCCACACAUCUCACAUUGCCGUCAGGUUUUCUAAGCUUUUGACCAAAGUCGACAGAUGCUCCGGAAAAGAUCUGGAGAAGAAGCCCAAUUUUUUUUUAAGAAUGGAGAUGUGGGCGGGUAUGGUUAGGAUGCUUCUAACUUGGUCGAUGUGAAUUUAUGUAAUAGACACCCGGCUUCGCAUGAAUAUGAAUUUUGGCAUAUUAGUAAUAAGUGCAAAGGCGGUUUCCUGGCGUGUAGGGUUUCGAUUAGGAGUUACAAACUGAGCUUCACCGUCUAAAUUCCUAAAGACAAGGUCAAAGAUGAAGUCAUAGGUUACAAGUAGUAUAAACGAGGAUACAGGUUUGAUUUUCAAAGGAUAAGACUACCAGCAGAUUAAAGCGUUCACUCAAACCGAUAAAGCUGCUAUGCUUGAUGAGAUUCUGGAUUAUGUGUAACAUUUACAGAUGCAAAUCAAGGUUCGGAGGUUGAUAAAGUCUGCAAAGCACUCGAGGACCCAAGCUGAGAAGGAAUUCAAAGUGGAGGUUGAAGCAAUUGGGCAUGUGCACCACAAUAAUCUGGUGUGCUUAUUGGGUUAUCGUAUCAAGGGAACUCAUAGGUUGUUGGUGUAGGAGUAUGGCAACAAUUGAAAUUUAGAACAAUGGCUCCAUGGAGCUAUGCGCCAACAUGGAUAUCUUAAAUGUAGUUUAGUUUAACGGGAAAUUCUAUGUGAUGCGCCAACAUGGAUAUAUUUUACAUGUGAUGCUCAUUUAACAGCUUAGUUUUAUAAUUUUGUGAUUAUGAUAAAGUUUGAGUUCAAAUAUAUUUAUUUUACUUCAGAUGA